UACAGAGGGUGCGAGCGUCAAUCGGAAUUACUGGGCGUAAAGGGUGCGUAGGUGGUUAAUUAAGUUAGAUGUGAAAUCCCUGGGCUUAACCUAGGAAUUGCAUUUAAGACUGAUUAGCUAGAGUUUGAGAGAGGGAAGUGGAAUUUCCGGUGUAGCGGUGAAAUGCGUAGAUAUCGGAAGGAACACCAGUGACGAAGGCGGCUUCCUGGCUCGAUACUGACACUGAGGCACGAAAGCUAGGGGAGCAAACAGG
rnacentral:rRNA from 1 species